AACGAACGCUGGCGGCGCGCCUAAUACAUGCAAGUCGAGCGAGAAGGUGUAGCAAUACACUUGUAAAGCGGCGAACGGGUGAGGAAUACAUGGGUAAUCUACCAUCGAGUGGGGAAUAACCAACCGAAAGGUUGGCUAAUACCGCGUACGCCUCCGAGUCUUCGGGUUCGGAGGGAAAGCUGCACUGUGAGUGUAGCGCUCUUUGAUGAGCUCAUGUCCUAUCAGCUUGUUGGUAGGGUAACGGCCUACCAAGGCUUUGACGGGUAGCUGGUCUGAGAGGACGAUCAGCCACACUGGCACUGCGACACGGGCCAGACUCCUACGGGAGGCAGCAGUAAGGAAUAUUGCGCAAUGGCGAAAGCCUGACGCAGCGACGCCGCGU
rnacentral:rRNA from 1 species